rnacentral:snoRNA from 1 species
GAGCUAGCAUUGAUUAUAAAAAUAAUUUUUAAUUCUGACUUUCUUAAUUUGGACUUGACAAACCUCUUAUUAGAAUCAUAGAAUCUAAGCUGC